ACUGGCUGCAAACCAUCCUCUGCUCCCGCUCCCGAAUCCUGAGGCAGGCUGGGGAAGCCUGCUGCCUCCCAGGGCCCAGCAGGGAGCUGCCAGCAUGGCGGCCGUGGCGGCAGCCCUCUGGACCAGGGCCCAGGCCAAGUGACACAAGGAGAUGGCCGAGGGGAUGACACAGCUCUGCAGCCGGGGGAGGACAGGCAGCCCUGAGGACAAGCCCUGGCUUUGGUGUUCCCUUGAGAUGCAGGGAUAAGGAAGAAGAAUCAUGCUCCUUUAAUCUACAAUACACUUGGUAACUCUAAGCAUACAUCCUAAAAACUGCUUCUACAGUUUUCUCAUUUUUUUGCUUCAUCAUACAAAACAAGUGUGCACAAAUUGAAAUUGCCCUCAGGAUGAAAUGCACUGCAAGUAUGCACGUAGUGAGUGAUUUUAACAUAUAUCUUCUCAUUUAUCUUCAUCGUUGUGGAAAUCCAGUGAAAAAAUACUAUUCUAAACCUUUUUAAAGAGCUUGGCGUGCCCAGCUAGAGCAUAUAGUGUGUAAGGUUAAUCUCCGUGCUCUUUGGUUGUACGGUCUACAGUUACAAGCUUUAACCUCCCACCGGGAUUCGGGCUGAAUGCCUCUUAAAGAAAAUGAAUGCUUCUUCACCGUUUUCAUGACUGCUAAGUCCGUAGACGUUACGACUACAGUAUCGGUGUUAAACGAAACAGUACUUCGGACUGCAGGACAGUGCAGGUACCAGAGUAGAUCAUCCACUGUGACAUACACGUGUAUGGUACGUACAUUAUAAUACUAGCAUCCGUGUUUAAAAAUGUUUUGUCCUAUCUUUUCCUAUAUCGGUGCUCGGAGCGAAGUUUCACGCUGCAGUUUACAAGAUACAGGUUUGCACACACAAACUCAGGGUUUACAGUUUCACCCGGUGUACUUGAAAGGAUAAAAAUGCGUAGAAAACAAAGUGCCCAGGAUUUCAACAUGUAUUUGUUGGAGGAAAAUUUUGCAGGUUUUUUUUUUUAACUGCCUGUGGAGACGAAAGCAAUGAAAUGAGGUGAUACCAACAGCUGUUUAUUUUCUCAGGGGAGAUUUCUUCAAUGGAAUGUGUCAAUUCUAACAUCAAGCAGUGUUUGCUUAAUUUUGUCUGUUACUUAAGAGACUCCAUGUUCGCAUCAAGGGGUCAGUUUUGCAAGGAGCUUCGCUUCGCAGACCCAGUCCAGCAAAGCCUUCACAUGCAUCUCUAACUUCAAAUAUCUGAGCAGAUUUCUGGAGAAUUUGGUGGAAGUGCAGUCCCUUUUUUUUUUUUUUUUUCUUCCCAUCAACACAGCGCUUUGCUGAACUUGGCCGAGAGCGCUGAGUGCCUUGCAGACCCAAGUCUUGGGUUCUUCACUUUAUAUGUAUAAAACCGGAGCUCUGGGCAUGAGCAGAUCAUGCCAUGAAAGGUCACCAGAAAAAAAUCCGGUAAUAUGGUGCUCCUCCAUGUAUACCCAGUGGUGAAUUUCUCCAGCUGAUGGGGUGAUGUGUAACCACAUAUCUUGGAUCAGAGUCAAGCCCUCCGUGUCAGGGUUCACAAGCUGCUAGUAUUAUAUGUUUCACGGUGCAGUCGUAGUAUGUUACAGCAGAAAUUCACCCCGUGUGCAAAGCAGGACAAAAUCCUGUGCACCACUCCAAUUCGGCCCCCCCAGCCCUGCCGUCGGGGUUCAGGGUCUGCAACAGCCGGCCAGCCACUUCCAUGCGGUUUAGGUCAGGAUCCAAUUAAAAGUUUGAGCAGGACUGGAGUGAUGCACGAAUGUUGUUCUGGUCUUUUGCAGCAGGGUCGUUUUCACUCAGUUAAAUUUAAUCCUUGGUGAAUCACUUGAUGAAUGAUUUAAAAUGUAUUUAUGGGUUGUGUGAUUGUGGGUUUUUUUUCCUUGUCUGCAUUCAAAGCUGCCUUUACUUUCUAGUGUCAAUGG